rnacentral:tRNA from 1 species
GGUGCCAUGGCUUAGCUGGUUAAAGUGCCUACCUGAUAAGCAGAAGAUCUUGGGUUCAAGUCACAGUGGUACCU